rnacentral:rRNA from 1 species
GAUGAACGCUGGCGGCGUGCCUAAUACAUGCAAGUCGAGCGAACAGAUGAGGAGCUUGCUCCUCUGACGUUAGCGGCGGACGGGUGAGUAACACGUGGAUAACCUACCUAUAAGACUGGGAUAACUUCGGGAAACCGGAGCUAAUACCGGAUAAUAUAUUGAACCGCAUGGUUCAAUAGUGAAAGACGGUUUUGCUGUCACUUAUAGAUGGAUCCGCGCCGCAUUGCUAGUUGGUAAGGUAACGGCUUACCAAGGCAACGAUGCGUAGCCGACCUGAGAGGGUGAUCGGCCACACUGGAACUGAGACACGGUCCAGACUCCUACGGGAGGCAGCAGUAGGGAAUCUUCCGCAAUGGGUGAAAGCCUGACGGAGCAACGCCGCGUGAGUGAUGAAGGUCUUCGGAUCGUAAAACUCUGUUAUUAGGGAAGAACAAAUGUGUAAGUAACUAUGCACGUCUUGACGGUACCUAAUCAGAAAGCCACGGCUAACUACGUG